rnacentral:rRNA from 1 species
UACGUAGGGGGCAAGCGUUGUCCGGAAUCAUUGGGCGUAAAGAGCGUGUAGGCGGCCCGAUAAGUCCGCUGUGAAAGUCCAGGGCUCAACCCUGGAAUGCCGGUGGAUACUGUCGGGCUCGAAUCCGGAAGAGGUGAGUGGAAUUCCUGGUGUAGCGGUGAAAUGCGCAGAUAUCAGGAGGAACACCAAUGGCGAAGGCAGCUCACUGGGACGGUAUUGACGCUGAGACGCGAAAGCGUGGGGAGCAAGCAGG